rnacentral:rRNA from 1 species
GGUCAAUUCCGGCUCCUAUAGGCGUAUAUUGAAGUUGUUGUGGUUAAAAAGCUCGUAGUUGAACCUUGGGCCCUGGCUGGCCGGUCCGCCUCACCGCGUGUACUGGUCCGGCCGGGCCUUUCCCUCUGUGGAACCCCAUGCCCUUCACUGGGUGUGGCGGGGAAACAGGACUUUUACUGUGAAAAAAUUAGAGUGCUCCAGGCAGGCCUAUGCUCGAAUACAUUAGCAUGGAAUAAUAGAAUAGGACGUGUGGUUCUAUUUUGUUGGUUUCUAGGACCGCCGUAAUGAUUAAUAGGGACAGUCGGGGGCAUCAGUAUUCAAUUGUCAGAGGUGAAAUUCUUGGAUUUAUUGAAGACUAACUACUGCGAAAGCAUUUGCCAAGGAUGUUUUCAUUAAUCAGGAACGAAAGUUAGGGGAUCGAAGACGAUCAGAUACCGUCGUAGUCUUAACCAUAAACUAUGCCGACUAGGGAUCGGACGAUGUUAUAUUUUGACUCGUUCGGCACCUUACGAGAAAUCAAAGUGCUUGGGCUCCAGGGGGAGUAUGGUCGCAAGGCUGAAACUUAAAGAAAUUGACGGAAGGGCACCACCAGGGGUGGAGCCUGCGGCUUAAUUUGACUCAACACGGGGAAACUCACCAGGUCCAGACACAAUGAGGAUUGACAGAUUGAGAGCUCUUUCUUGAUUUUGUGGGUGGUGGUGCAUGGCCGUUCUUAGUUGGUGGAGUGAUUUGUCUGCUUAAUUGCGAUAACGAACGAGACCUUAACCUGCUAAAUAGCCCGUAUUGCUUUGGCAGUACGCUGGCUUCUUAGAGGGACUAUCGGCUCAAGCCGAUGGUUGUUUGAGCAAUAACACGUC